AUUGAACGCUGGCGGCAGGCCUAACACAUGCAAGUCGAGCGGAUGAAGGGAGCUUGCUCCUGGAUUCAGCGGCGGACGGGUGAGUAAUGCCUAGGAAUCUGCCCGGUAGUGGGGGAUAACGUCCGGAGACGGGCGCUAAUACCGCAUACGUCCUGAGGGAGAAAGUGGGGGAUCUUCGGACCUCACGCUAUCAGAUGAGCCUAGGUCGGAUUAGCUAGUUGGUGGGGUAAAGGCCUACCAAGGCGACGAUCCGUAACUGGUCUGAGAGGAUGAUCAGUCACACUGGAACUGAGACACGGUCCAGACUCCUACGGGAGGCAGCAGUGGGGAAUAUUGGACAAUGGGCGAAAGCCUGAUCCAGCCAUGCCGCGUGUGUGAAGAAGGUCUUCGGAUUGUAAAGCACUUUAAGUUGGGAGGAAGGGCAGUAAGUUAAUACCUUGCUGUUUUGACGUUACCAACAGAAUAAGCACCGGCUAACUUCGUG
rnacentral:rRNA from 1 species